UCCCUGGUGGCUCAGAUGGUAAAGCGUCUGCCUGCAAUGCGGGAGAUCCAGGUUCAGUCCCUGGGUUGGGAA
rnacentral:tRNA from 1 species